GCGGCCGCUCCAAACCACAAAAUCUCCAACGCCGGACAGCGCGGCCUCGGUCACCAUACGCUACAGGCAUCCUGCAGGCCAUCGCGUGUGGUGGAGCGUCCGGCGCUUAUCGUGGGAUCGCCACCUCUGCCCUCUACCAGGCUCCGGGCCCGGUGCCGAGGACUGGCCGCCAAGGGUUGCGGACUAUGGCCCUAAAGCUCAUCCACAAGGAGUUCCUCGAACUGGCCCGCGACCCCCAGCCCCACUGCUCAGCAGGGCCAGUGUGGGACGAUAUGCUCCACUGGCAGGCCACCAUAACGAGGCCCAACGACAGCUCCUACCUGGGAGGGGUCUUCUUCCUAAAGUUUCCCUCCGACUACCUAUUCAAACCACCCAAGAUCAAAUUUACCAACGGAAUUUACCAUCAACGUUAACGGAAAUACGCGACAGGAGGGAGUAUGGCAGAAUAGCUAAAGACUGGACUCA
ensembl:lncRNA UBE2DNL ubiquitin conjugating enzyme E2 D N-terminal like (pseudogene)